rnacentral:rRNA from 1 species
UUUGCCUACGGGACGCAGCAGUGGGGAAUAUUGGGCAAUGGGCGCAAGCCUGACCCAGCAACGCCGCGUGAAGGAAGAAGGCUUUCGGGUUGUAAACUUCUUUUCUCAGGGACGAAGAAAGUGACGGUACCUGAGGAAUAAGCCACGGCUAACUACGUGCCAGCAGCCGCGGUAAUACGUAGGUGGCAAGCGUUAUCCGGAUUUACUGGGUGUAAAGGGCGUGUAGGCGGGACUGCAAGUCAGAUGUGAAAACCAUGGGCUCAACCUGUGGCCUGCAUUUGAAACUGUAGUUCUUGAGUACUGGG